UGUGGAAUUGCUGGGUCAUAUGGUAAUUCUGUUUAAUUUUUUGAGCAAUUGCCAACUGUUCUCCAGAGUGUCCACAUCAUUUUAUGUUCCCACCAGCAAU
rnacentral:pre_miRNA from 1 species